AAGGGUACUCUCAUCACCAAUGU
rnacentral:miRNA from 1 species